rnacentral:tRNA from 4 species
CGGGGCGUGGCGAAAUUGGUAGACGCACUGGAUUUAGGUUCCAGCGCCGCAAGGUGUAAGAGUUCGAGUCUCUUCGCCCCCACCA